CGCGUAGGAAACUACCCAGUAGUGGGGGACAACAGUUGGAAACGACUGCUAAUACCGCAUACGCUCUACGGAGGAAAGGGGGCUUCGGCUCUCGCUAUUGGAUGUGCCUGCGUGAGAUUAGCUAGUUGGUGGGGUAAAGGCCUACCAAGGCAACGAUCUCUAGCUGGUCUGAGAGGACGACCAGCCACACUGGGACUGAGACACGGCCCAGACUCCUACGGGAGGCAGCAGUGGGGAAUUUUGGACAAUGGGCGAAAGCCUGAUCCAGCAAUGCCGCGUGCAGGAUGAAGGCCUUCGGUU
rnacentral:rRNA from 1 species